AUUGAACGCUGGCGGCAGGCUUAACACAUGCAAGUCGAGCGGAGAUGAGGUGCUUGCACCUUAUCUUAGCGGCGGACGGGUGAGUAAUGCUUAGGAAUCUGCCUAUUAGUGGGGGACAACAUUCCGAAAGGAAUGCUAAUACCGCAUACGUCCUACGAGAGAAAGCAGGGGAUCUGCGGACCUUGCGCUAAUAGAUGAGCCUAAGGCGGAUUAGCUAGUUGGUGGGGUAAAGGCCUACCAAGGCGACGAUCUGUAGCGGGUCUGAGAGGAUGAUCCGCCACACUGGGACUGAGACACGGCCCAGACUCCUACGGGAGGCAGCAGUGGGGAAUAUUGGACAAUGGGGGGAACCCUGAUCCAGCCAUGCCGCGUGUGUGAAGAAGGCCUUAUGGUUGUAAAGCACUUUAAGCGAGGAGGAGGCUACUGAGACUAAUACUCUUGGAUAGUGGACGUUACUCGCAGAAUAAGCACCGGCUAACUCUGUGCCAGCCGCCGCCGUAAAAC
rnacentral:rRNA from 1 species